UACUUUAUAGUACCUGCCAGUGGUCUGGCCAUCGGUCUAAUAAGCCGAUGCGUCUGAGUUCGAUUCUCAGUAGGUGUAG